ensembl:lincRNA
AGAAGACAAACUUGAGUAUAUACACAAGUGUGCAGGACGAUCAGUGUGUGGCAUCGUGAUAGUGCAGACCGAGUCUCAGCUGGGUAUCGCUUCGCAGCUGUUUUACGUAGCACAGGUGGCUCGGCUUCAGUGAACUGAAAUAUCUUGAUCAAAAGAUAAAAUGCAUUUCACCUCCGAGAGUGAAAACAGCCUGGAUCCUCACCAUGUUUGAAGCUCUGGGUGGCCGUGACUUCUGCCGUGUGGACCAGUAACAGAAGCCAGUUGCAAAAAGAGAAGAAUGAAGUCAACAUACAGAGGCUGUCUUUUGCCAAGACCUUUCAUGCCAGAUGGGUCUUUGAAAUAAUGCAAAAGCAUCUGUUAUUCAGGUUUCUUUUUUUCUUCUUC